GAAGCGGGAGGAUAGACAUGCUAGUCAGCGCUCUCAAGCCAACAAGAGAGUGCGGCACACAGCUCAGUAACACGUGGCUAACCUGCCCUCAAGACGGGGACAACCCCGGGAAACUGGGGCUAAUCCCAGAUAGACGAGAACUCCUGGAAUGGGUUUUCGUCCGAAAGGCGUUAGGGUCGUGCUCCUUAACGUCGCUCAAGGAUGGGGCCGCGGCCGAUCAGGCUGUUGGUGAGGCAACGGCUCACCAAACCUAUAACCGGUACGGGCCGUGGGAGCGGGAGCCCGGAGAUGGGAACUGAGACAAGGUCCCAGGCCCUACGGGGCGCAGCAGUUACGAAAACUUGUCACUGCACGAAAGUGCGAACGGGCUACCCCGAGUGCCGUCCGCUGAGGAUGGCUUUUCUCUGCUGUAAGAAGGCGGAGGAAUAAGGAGAGGGCAAGUCUGGUGUCAGCCGCCGCGGUAAUACCAGCUCUCCGAGUGGUGGGGAUGUUUAUUGGGCCUAAAGCGUCCGUAGCUGGCCUUUCAAGUCUCUCGUUAAAUCCAGCGAUUCAAUCGUUGGACUGCGGGAGAUACUGUUUGGCUAGGGGGCGGGAGAAGCCGACGGUAUUUUCGGGGUAGGGGUAAAAUCCUAUAAUCCCGGGAAGACCACCAGUGGCGAAGGCGGUCGGCUAGCACGCGCUCGACGGUGAGGGACGAAAGCUGGGGGAGCGAACCGGAUUAGAUACCCGGGUAGUCCCAGCUGUAAACGAUGCGGGCUAGGUGUUGAAGCGGCUACGAGCCGCUUCAGUGCCGCAGGGAAGCCAUUAAGCUCGCCGCCUGGGGAGUACGGCCGCAAGGCUGAAACUUAAAGGAAUUGGCGGGGGAGCACCACAAAGGGGUGAAGCUUGCGGUUUAAUUGGAUUCAACGCCGGG
rnacentral:rRNA from 1 species